rnacentral:rRNA from 1 species
UGGGGAAUAUUGCACAAUGCGCGCAAGCCUGAUGCAGCCAUGCCGCGUGUAUGAAGAAGGCCUUCGGGUUGUAAAGUACUUUCAGCGGGGAGGAAGGGAGUAAAGUUAAUACCUUUGCUCAUUGACGUUACCCGCAGAAGAAGCACCGGCUAACUCCGUGCCAGCAGCCGCGGUAAUACGGAGGGUGCAAGCGUUAAUCGGAAUUACUGGGCGUAAAGCGCACGCAGGCGGUUUGUUAAGUCAGAUGUGAAAUCCCCGGGCUCAACCUGGGAACUGCAUCUGAUACUGGCAAGCUUGAGUCUCGUAGAGGGGGGUAGAAUUCCAGGUGUAGCGGUGAAAUGCGUAGAGAUCUGGAGGAAUACCGGUGGCGAAGGCGGCCCCCUGGACGAAGACUGACGCUCAGGUGCGAAAGCGUGGGGAGCAAACA